ACCCUGACCACGUCUAUCUCUGGGGGUCGCACGUUGCGGGCAGAGCGCAAGGCAUACACCAGAAAACGCUGUCCUGUGGUAUGGUCUCUUCCAACUUCAUGUACCAGCGUAAAGAUUAAAGUGGAAAACCAGACUUUGGCUGCUUUUUUAAUCUUUUUGGAGACUAAGUGUCUAAACUUAACUUAAAUGGUUUUUUACAGGAGUUAAAGUACAUAAAUGCCUUUUUACAGCUUAAUCAUUUUGGUCUUCUGUUUAGUGUUGUAUUUCAAUUGUGGAGCCUCAUUUUAAGUGUUCAUUCUUUAAGAUUUAAUGCUUGCUUUUUCUUUUUAUAGCUAAUAGUGAAAUCUACAAACCAAAACAAGAACUUUUAAAUCUGGGAUGAGGUGUAAAGAAACCAUCUUACAGGACGACAUUGAAGGUUGCUUGAUCUUCUGUUGACCUAAGAUGAUUAUUUUGUAAAGACUUUGUAGUGUACAUGACACAAUUGUGUCCCACUGUACAUAGCUGCCAAUUAGUUCCUUUGUUAAUCUGUCCUUUGUUCCUUCCCUGUGUUAUGACUCAAUGUGGAUUUGUGUUUAUACAAAUUUUUAUUUGUGUGACUUCAUGUUCAACCUCAAAUAAAUGCUUCCUUAUGUGAUUGUU
rnacentral:lncRNA from 1 species